rnacentral:rRNA from 1 species
CGUAGGGUGCGAGCGUUAAUCGGAAUUACUGGGCGUAAAGCGUGCGUAGGCGGUUCGUUGUGUCUGUGGUGAAAGCCCCGGGCUUAACCUGGGAAUUGCCAUGGAAACUGGCGAGCUGGAGUGUGGCAGAGGAGGGUGGAAUUCCGCGUGUAGCAGUGAAAUGCGUAGAGAUGCGGAGGAACACCGAUGGCGAAGGCAGCCCUCUGGGCUAACACUGACGCUCAGGCACGAAAGCGUGGGGAGCAAACAGGAUUAGAUACCCUGGUAGUCCACGCCCUAAACGAUGGCAACUAGGUGUUGGGGAAGCGAUUUUCCAGUACCGUAGCUAACGCGUGAAGUUGCCCGCCUGGGGAGUACGGCCGCAAGGUUA